rnacentral:ncRNA from 1 species
GGUCAAGCUACAAAGGGCGCAUGGUGAAUGCCUUGGCAUCAGGAGCCGAUGAAGGACGUGAUAAGCUGCGAUAAGCUUCGGGUAGGCGCACAUAGCCAGAGAUCCGGAGAUUUCCGAAUGGGGAAACCCGCAUGAGAAACCUCAUGCAUCGUAAAGUGAAUACAUAGCUUUAUGAAGG